GCAGGCCCAGCAUAAAUGAGCGAGCCCCCUGCCAACAGAACAAUGUCGUCGAAUUUUGCAUACACAGAACCUCUAGGCUGGUGUAUAGAACAUAUAACAGUAUGUCCAUCUUGUGCAAGUUGUCUUAAGGUUUCCAUCACUCGCUCUGCUUGAAAAGCAUCAAGUCCUGAAAGCAGAGUAAAAAGGUGAACAAGCAACAUUGAACUAAAAUCUUGUCUUCACAUUGGCAUUUCGACUUGAAUAAUAUAUUCAAUUGUUUCUA
rnacentral:misc_RNA from 1 species